UCUCUAGGCAAUGGAUGUCUUGGCUCCUCACACGAUGAAGAACGUGGCAUAAUGUGUUAAGUAACCGGAGUUGCAAACAUCGUGACAGGUUAAUCUUUGAAUGCAAAUUGCGCCUUCUCCAAUCUCGGUUGGAAUGGCAUGCGUGUACCAGUAC
rnacentral:rRNA from 1 species